GAUUUUCAGAAGGGGUGCCUUAAUAUUACGGGCUGAGAUUAUACCCAAUAACCUGAUCCGGGUAAUGCCGGCGUAGGUAGAGUGAGCAAAAUUUCAU
rfam:Odoribacter splanchnicus DSM 20712, complete genome.